GAUGAACGCUGGCGGCGUGCCUAAUACAUGCAAGUCGAGCGAACAGACGAGGAGCUUGCUCCUCUGACGUUAGCGGCGGACGGGUGAGUAACACGUGGAUAACCUACCUAUAAGACUGGGAUAACUUCGGGAAACCGGAGCUAAUACCGGAUAACAUGUUGAACCGCAUGGUUCAACAGUGAAAGACGGUCUUGCUGUCACUUAUAGAUGGAUCCGCGCCGCAUUAGCUAGUUGGUAAGGUAACGGCUUACCAAGGCAACGAUGCGUAGCCGACCUGAGAGGGUGAUCGGCCACACUGGAACUGAGACACGGUCCAGACUCCUACGGGAGGCAGCAGUAGGGAAUCUUCCGCAAUGGGCGAAAGCCUGACGGAGCAACGCCGCGUGAGUGAUGAAGGUCUUCGGAUCGUAAAACUCUGUUAUUAGGGAAGAACAAAUGUGUAAGUAACUAUGCACGUCUUGACGGUACCUAAUCAGAGAGCCACGGCUAACUACGUG
rnacentral:rRNA from 1 species